UCCUGACCUCAAGUGAUCCGCCUGCCUCAGCCUCCCAAAGUGCUGGGAUUACAGGUGUGAGCCACCGCGCCCAUCCCAGGGACCAUCUAGUUGUAGGAAACAAGCUCCAGGCUCCCACUGAUCCUGCAUUAUGCUCCCCCACCGUCUGUGGAGAAACCAUCUUCCACGAAUCCCUCCCUGGUGCCAAAAAGGUUGAGGACUGCUGCCUUAAGGAACCAGAAAAGGAAGAACAAAGGCAGCCCCGAGCCAGCAGGAGGAAGGAAAUUGUAAAGAUCAGAGCAGCGAUAGACGAGACAGAGAUGAGAAAAACUGAGACCUGGUCUCACUCUGUUGCCCAGUGUGGAGUCCAAGGGUGCAAUCACAGUGACAGCUCACAGCAGCCUCCACCUCCUGGGCUCAAGUGAUCCUUCUGCCUCAGCUGCCCAAAAUCCUAGGAUUAUAGGCAUGUGCCACCACACUG